CGAAAAUGGGUAAAACACAAAGAGCAUCGCACACCCCCAAGGGGAACACCCAUCCCUUCAUGCGACAGUUCCUGAUCGCCCAGACGGACCCGGACUCACAGGCCUCUAACAACUCCACGGCCUCAGGCGGGUUGUUCUCGCCAUCCCCACGCGGCAAAGAGACACAGACAGAGGCACCUGGCACCAGCCUCACGACACCGCAAACCGAUUAGACUUAUAUGCUGCACAACCUGCCAACUAAAACGGAUCUGAAAGCAGCAAAUGACGAACUCCGGGCCUCCAUCACUACGGAACUCCAAGCCAUGUGGGAAGAAUUCUGCGGCCUACGCCAGAGGGUGUCCCAACUCGAAGUGGACUGCGACCACAUGGCGUCAGCGCAGUCUGCAAACACGGACACCCUACAACUCAGAUCGCAACAACUCCAGCAAAUGGCAUACCACUUAGAAGACCUCGACAACCGAGGCAGAAGACAUUAGGAUCCGCGGGGUGCCAGAGGAGGUGGAUGACACAACCCCAGUACAGAUUACCCUAACGGGCAUAUUUAACAACAUCCUGGGACACCUCGCACAGAACCCGGUCGACAUG